CCACCCCCAGAAGAAGACAUUUGGUCUUGGAAAGUGGGCCAGGAGACCAAAUUUAAACCCAGAAUGCACCUCAGGGGGAGUCUUUUGGAACACUUUCCUGAUUUCCUGUGACGAUAGAUCUUAUGGCCCAUGGUCGAUUUGGGGGAGCAAAGGACUGGAACGAGGUGCAAAUGCUGAGAGAGAAGAGGGAAGGGAAACAGCACAGGGGAGGCAAGGAGCCCAGGGGAGCAAAGUCGGAGCCCAGAGAGGCUCGAGCAAACCCGGGGGGUCCAGAGCGCGCAGGGGGUCGC